rnacentral:tRNA from 1 species
GCGCCCAUAGCUCAGUGGUACGAGCACGCCCUUGACGUGGGCGGGGUCCUCCGUUCGAUCCGGAGUGGGCGCA